rnacentral:sRNA from 1 species
AGCAAAAAACAGUUACAAAUCAGCUUCGAGAUUCUCUCCGUGAUCUGAAUGGACCACUCGAUGAACUCAAAGACAAGUAGGAUUGUGACAGGUUGAGUCCAACCCUGCAUUGGCGAUUGACCUCUUGUAGAGGCGUGUUGCCACCUGUUCCGCAGUACGAAAUCGGAACUUUUUUGGUUUUGGUAGCCGCAGGGGUAGCCAUUCUGAACGAGCGAGAUGGUGCUCGAGGAUGAGGAGAUUCAGUUUGGCGGAAUGAGGUAUCUGAUGCCUGAGCCUUUUAAUCUGGGAAGAAUGAUAAAGAUGUUGAAGUCGGGAAAAAUCUAGGUAGAAUCUGAGGUAAACAAACGGACGACCAACGCAUAACUACCAACUUUUAAAGGCGUCGCCCGCCCCGUCAAUUCCAAUCUAGGGGAUCCUCGAGCUUCACGACCGACAAGGGUAGCAAGGCAAGGCUUUAUUCGCGAGAGACCUCUGCGGAUGCCAGGCAUUGCCAAUCCAUGCCCUUGCCAGGGAUGGUAGGCGAAAUUAUUAUAGUGAGG